CGACUCUCAGGGUCGCAUCUGGAGAGUUUCCAGUACUCUACCAGUCUCGACUAUGGGAGGGAGAGACAAGCAGAGGCAUAUCCAUUCCAAUUCUAGCUUGGGCAGUGGCUAGCAAGUGGAAGGCGAUGUGCUACAAGU
rnacentral:snoRNA from 1 species